AAAGCUUGCUUUUCCGCUGACGAGUGGCGCACGGGUGCGUAACGCGUAUAGAACCUACCUUUUACUAGGAAAUAGCCCAUGGAAACGUGGAUUAAUGUCCCAUAAUAACAUUUAAUGGCAUCAUUUGAAUGUUUAAAGCUUCGGCGGUAGAAGAUGGCUAUGCGUCCCAUUAGUUAGUAGGCGAGGUAACGGCUCACCUAGGCUUCGAUGGGUAGGGGCCCUGAGAGGGGGAUCCCCCACACUGGUACUGAGACACGGACCAGACUCCUACGGGAGGCAGCAGUGAGGAAUAUUGGACAAUGGACGAAAGUCUGAUCCAGCCAUGCCGCGUGCAGGAAGACGGCCCUACGGGUUGUAAACUGCUUUUAUACGGGAAGAAUAAGAAGUACGUGUACUUCGAUGACGGUACCGUAAGAAUAAGGACCGGCUAACUCCGUGCCAGCAGCCGCGGUAAUACGGAGGGUCCGAGCGUUAUCCGGAAUCAUUGGGUUUAAAGGGUCCGCAGGCGGGCAAUUAAGUCAGGGGUGAAAGGCUGUGGCUCAACCAUAGCAUUGCCUUUGAUACUGGUUGUCUUGAGUUAUAGUGAAGUGGCCGGAAUAUGUAGUGUAGCGGUGAAAUGCAUAGAUAUUACAUAGAACACCGAUUGCGAAGGCAGGUCACUAACUAUUGACUGACGCUGAUGGACGAAAGCGUGGGGAGCGAACGGGAUUAGAUACCCCGGUAGUCCACGCCGUAAACGAUGGAUACUAGCUGUCGGGCUUUCGGGCUCGGCGGCCAAGCGAAAGUGAUAAGUAUCCCACCUGGGGAGUACGUUCGCAAGAAUGAAACUCAAAGGAAUUGACGGGGGCCCGCACAAGCGGUGGAGCAUGUGGUUUAAUUCGAUGAUACGCGAGGAACCUUACCAGGGCUUAAAUGCAGAAUGACAGGACCAGAGACGGUUUUUUCUUCGGACAUUUUGCAAGGUGCUGCAUGGUUGUCGUCAGCUCGUGCCGUGAGGUGUCAGGUUAAGUCCUAUAACGAGCGCAACCCCUGUCGUCAGUUGCCAACAGAUAAUGCUGGGGACUCUGGCGAGACUGCCGGUGCAAACCGCGAGGAAGGUGGGGAUGACGUCAAAUCAUCACGGCCCUUACGUCCUGGGCUACACACGUGCUACAAUGGCCGAUACAGUGAGCAGCCAUCCGGCAACGGAGAGCGAAUCUAUAAAAUCGGUCACAGUUCGGAUCGGGGUCUGCAACUCGACCCCGUGAAGCUGGAAUCGCUAGUAAUCGGAUAUCAGCCAUGAUCCGGUGAAUACGUUCCCGGGCCUUGUACACACCGCCCGUCAAGCCAUGGAAGCCGGGGGUAC
rnacentral:rRNA from 1 species